UGCUGCAGUUAAAAAGCUCGUAGUUGAAAUUCUGCUCCGGCAGGCAAGUAUCCUUUAGGAUUCCUGUCACCGGGCAUCAGUCUGCAAUCUUUUUCACGGCAUUUACUUGUCGGGCUAGGGAGCAGACGUUUUACCUUGAGAAAAUUAGAGUGUUCCAGGCAGGCUUCAGCCCGAAUACAUUAGCAUGGAAUAAUAGAAUAGGACUAGAGACUAUUUAUUGGUUUGAGGCUCUAGUAAUGAUUAAUAGGAACAGUCGGGGGCAUUAGUACUUAACAGUCAGAGGUGAAAUUCUAGGAUUUGUUAAAGACUAACUAAUGCGAAAGCAUUUGCCAAGCAUGUUUUCAUUAAUCAAGAACGAAAGUUAGGGGAUCAAAGACGAUCAGAUACCGUCGUAGUCUUAACUAUAAACUAUACCGACUCGGAAUUGGGCAAUUUAUUAUAGAUUGCUCAGCGCCGUAAGAGAAAUCAAAGUCUUUGGGUUCUUGGUGGAGUACGAUCGCAAGAUUGAAACUUAAAGGAAUUGACGGUUUUGCACCACCAUGGAGUGGAGCCUGCGGCUUAAUUUGACUCAACACGAGAAAACUUAUCAGGGUAAAAAGGUAUUGGGAUUGACAGAUUGAGAGUUCU
rnacentral:rRNA from 1 species